rnacentral:rRNA from 1 species
UACGAGUGCCUCAAGCGUUAUCCGGAAUCAUUGGGCGUAAAGGUUGUGUAGGUGGUUAUAUUAGUCUUCUGUUAAAUUCUUCGGCUUAACCGGGGGCAUGCAGAGGAAACGGUAUAACUUGAGGAUGCGAGGGGUCUGCGGAACUCAUAGUGUAGCGGUGAAAUGCGUUGAUAUUAUGGGGAACACCAAAAGCGAAGGCAGCAGACUGGAGCACUCCUGACACUGAAACAAGAAAGCGUGGGUCGCGAAUGGG